rnacentral:rRNA from 1 species
AGUGAACGCUGGCGGUAGGCCUAACACAUGCAAGUCGAACGGCAGCACAGUAAGAGCUUGCUCUUACGGGUGGCGAGUGGCGGACGGGUGAGGAAUACAUCGGAAUCUACUUUUUCGUGGGGGAUAACGUAGGGAAACUUACGCUAAUACCGCAUACGACCUACGGGUGAAAGCAGGGGAUCUUCGGACCUUGCGCGAUUGAAUGAGCCGAUGUCGGAUUAGCUAGUUGGCGGGGUAAAGGCCCACCAAGGCGACGAUCCGUAGCUGGUCUGAGAGGAUGAUCAGCCACACUGGAACUGAGACACGGUCCAGACCCCUACGGGAGGCAGCAGUGGGGAAUAUUGGACAAUGGGCGCAAGCCUGAUCCAGCCAUACCGCGUGGGUGAAGAAGGCCUUCGGGUUGUAAAGCCCUUUUGUUGGGAAAGAAAAGCAGCAGGUUAAUACCCCGCUGCUCUGACGGUACCCAAAGAAUAAGCACCGGCUAACUUCGUG